UUAUUAGUAUUUUAAGACAAUUGAAAUCAUUUGUUGUAUAGUACUACAAGUCCAUCAUCGCAAUUUGUAUCGACUUUUAAAGUUGUACUUUGUAAAAAGAAAGUUUAUUAUUUUGAAAAUAGAUAUUCAUGAACCAUACGCACCAAAUUAAUAUCUAGAGAAAAGUUAGAAACCGUGAUCACACAUGUACUUUGAUGAGGGAGAUUAAAGCAUAUAUACUAGUUAAUUAAUUUUCUAAUUGAAAACUUUAACUAUGAAACUAUGGAACAUAACAAAGUGAUAUUGUUGCAUUUUUUCACUUUUAUAAAGGGUGCAAUUUAGUGACGAGGCACAAGCAUAAUGACAACAGUAUAGUGUAACAUUUAUUCCAGAAACCUUUCAGAAAAAGGAAAAAAAAAAAAAAAACUAUUCCAGAACUGCCCACAAAUUAAACUACCAAAUUCAAUAAAUAGUCUUGUCCUAAACAAAGGUUCAAAAUAAUACUAAAAACAAUAAUAAAUACAGCCAGCAAGAGAAAUAAAUAACUCAAGUCUUAAGAAAGAACGCACGGUCAUAAUUGAAGGCCAAUGAAACAUCCACUACAUCAUUUAGGGUUGACACUAUACUAUCCAUCCCCAAUCAAACCAAAAGAGAAUCAUAAAACCAGCUAAAGGUACAAACAACCAUGAUUGUAAAUAUAUAUACGGUGAGGUUUAAGUAAAAACCACUAAACUAAAUAGGAAUAAAGAAUCAUUUUCAGUUAUUUUAUCAUUAAGAUCAAUGUGGAUGCAUUAUUUUAUUGAAUGAAUAUAAAUUUAUUAUUUUUUACAAAGGAUGCAUUAAUUAUAAUGGCUAUCGCGAAAAUAAAGCUAUCACCUAUAAUGCACGGAUUCGCCGAAAAUCAACCCCGUGCAGUAUCCGAUUCGCGCGGGGGGCGGGUGCGGGCGCGAUUCGCGUGGGAUUCGCACACCUGGCGAAUCCCCCCCCAAAAAAAAAAAUCGGAUUCGCGAAUCGGGAGUUGUUGGCUGGCAGGAGGCGAGGCGGCAUGAUCCGAGACGGUUGAGCAGGGCGGCGGGGCCGAAGGGCAGGCGCCGCUGAGCGGGGCCGAAGAGCAGUAGCAACGGCGGCCCUUCUUGGCCGUCUGCUGUCAAAAACGCGUGGGAGAGAGAGAGGGAGGCGGAAUCGGGCUUCUGAAGGGUUCGGGGCGGGCGGCGGCGGCGGCGUCAGUGGAGCCGGUGAGCAUUUGGACGACUUGCUUGAAGGAGGAGGUGUCGGAUUGCAGGCGUGGGUGCGUGAACAGAGAGAGAGAGAAACAGAUCUGAGGUUAUUAUGUAUGCAUAUUUUUCGGUUCAAUUUCUUCCGAAUGGGAGUGAGAGAGAGAAACAGAUCUUCCGAAUGAGAGAGAGAGAGAGAAACAGAUCUGAGAAACAGAUCUGAGAGAGAGAGAAACAGAAAAAAUCAAGAGUUGCUAAUUCGGUUCAAUUUCUUCCGAAUGGGAGUGAUUUUCGGUUUCCUUCGGAUCUUUCCAGAUUUACCUUAUGGGUAAAUCUCUCAUUUACCCCUUUCUUAUUUUUUAAUGGUUUUUUAGUAAUGUUAUUCGAUUAAAAUAUUGGUGAUGUGAAUUAAUUGGAACCGCU
rnacentral:lncRNA from 1 species